rnacentral:rRNA from 1 species
UACGUAGGGUGCAAGCGUUGUCCGGAAUUAUUGGGCGUAAAGAGCUCGUAGGCGGUUUGUCGCGUCUGCUGUGAAAUCCGGAGGCUCAACCUCCGGCCUGCAGUGGGUACGGGCAGACUAGAGUGCGGUAGGGGAGAUUGGAAUUCCUGGUGUAGCGGUGGAAUGCGCAGAUAUCAGGAGGAACACCGGUGGCGAAGGCGCCUAUCUGGCCCGAUACUGACGCUGAGGCGCGAAAGCCAGGGGAGCAAACGGG